rnacentral:rRNA from 1 species
CCUACGGGGCGCAGCAGUGGGGAAUAUUGCACAAUGGGGGAAACCCUGAUGCAGCGACGCCGCGUGAGUGAAGAAGUAUCUCGGUACGCAAAGCUCUAUCAGCAGGGAAGAAAAAAAGUCUUUGGCUUUGGACGGUACCUGACUAAGAAGCCCCGGCUAACUACGUGCCAGCAGCCGCGGUAAUACGUAGGGGGCAAGCGUUAUCCGGAUUUACUGGGUGUAAAGGGAGCGUAGACGGUGAUGCAAGUCAGAAGUGAAAGCCCGCGGCUCAACUGCGGGACUGCUUUUGAAACUGUAUGACUGGG